UUAUCGUUACUGCUAUUUCUUUAACAUGUUGUAUCACAUUUCAACCUGUACUUUAACUCAUGCGGCUACCGACUAUUUCUGAGUAGCGAUGGCUGGUGCAGAACGUAAAUCUCCGUCUAUAAGUGUUGCUGAAUAAUAAAAUGAAUCCAGAUAAGAAAUUGGUUAGCGACUAACUAGAUUUACAAAGUCGUUACGUUCUUAUCACAGUGCACCGCGGAAAAGCAUUUAAAAGGAAGUUCACGUCUCCUUCCCUACCGAUGUUAUAAAACUUGCCAAGAAGUGGCGUUGAAACGCGGUUCUCUAGCUUCUGAGGCAAGCACGCCAACCACUGCGCUACGGCUACUCAAUAAUAACAAUAGUAAUAAUUAUAACUAUAAUAUAAAAUUGAGGUAGUAUGAUUUUUGCUCGUUCAUUUUUAUUAGUAAGAAUUUUGUCAACUAUUAUACUGCUCUUAACUGUUUAUUCAUAGUACUUUUGUUCGUACGUUCAUCAGCAGCAUUACAAAAAAUGCAGGUUCUAUUGUCCUAAAAAAAUUUUUUUUUUUAAUGUACUAAUAAACUAGUUCAAAUAAGUUUUUAAUUUUAUAGUUAAGUUAUUGUUAGUUAGAAUACUAAUAUAACUGCUUAUUGUUGAUUAGAUUUCUGAGUUUACAACUAUUGUUCAGUGAAUUUAUAUGUGUUGGGUGUAUGAUUCAUACAUUUUUAAAGUCUAUUUACAGGUUUUGUAGAUGAUAUUUUCAUGAUAGUUAUUUGUAUCUAUUAGGGCACUAUGAUUGCUGGCAUGCGUGACUUAUUGAUUGUAUGAUGUGCCCCAUAUAUAAUCAAAAAUGUUUUCUUGUGUAAAAGUCAUAUUGUUAAACGAAUGGCUUGUAGUUAAUUAUAGAAUAAUAUUUAUAUACAAAAUAAAAAUCCUUUUAACAUUUCAUUUUUAAAGUGCAAUUAUGUUAAACUAAUAAAUUGUAUGAAAAACAAUUUUUUUUGUUUUGUUUUAUUUUUAGUUUUCAGAUUAUAAUAUGGUUAGAAAUAAAAUAAAAAAAAGAUAGAGCUGCUUUACCUAAUGAACUAUUGAAAGUAGCUGUUAAUGAAGUUUUAGAUGUUAAUGUUAACUGUUAAUGAAGUUUUGAAUGUUGUAGCCGCAAGUUAAACAUAGAUUGAAUGACUUUAAAGAGAUAUAGUUGUAAAAAGAAGCCUAAUCCAAAUGAACUUUUCAAGCGUCGCUACCGCAUUAAAACAUUAAAGAAGCAAAAAAAAAAAUUUUUAAGUUAUUUACUAAUUGAACUAUGUUCAAUUAUGUCAAUACUUGGCAUAUGAGUUUGCUGUGAAAAAUAAUCUGCGCAUCAUUGUAAAUCAAAAACAAAAUCAAAGGGAUUGAUUUGUUGCAAGAUUUUAAUAAUACAACCAGGGCUGUCUCGACAAACACCUAAAGCAACUACUUUGUUUGAUUGAUCAGUUAUUGAGCUAGCGUCAAAACGACGUUGGCCCAACGCUUCCAGCGUUGUUUUGACGUUGAUCCAACGUAGUGUGCUAGCUGGGUAACCGCUUUUAGCCGCUUUUUAAAAGUUUCACAAUUGUAUGAUAAAGGAAGAUCCUUCUGGAUGGAUGAGCACUGCAAAUCCUUCUGAUUUUGAUGAACUUUUAUAGAAAUGAUAAAAAAAAAUUUAUAGAAAUGAUAAAAGAUUUUGUGAAAUAUUUAAA